CAGACCACCUCAGGUCUUGCUUGCCACGUAAUGACAUUAUCGUUUCAAACACGUGCGUCCGAGCGUGUGGACAUUCACCCUCUACCCAUAGUUUCUUCAUUUUUUUGUUCUCCAAUUGAAUUUCUCGAUUUCCCAUCUUCCUUUUCUGUUUGGUUCCCGCGAAUCUCCAAUCAGACAAGACAAAGGGUCGACCCGUUAAUUGAGUUGCGCUGGAAAGCAGUGUUUGAAGGCUUUCAACUUUGUGUAUUGACAAGCUUCAUUUGUCAGCAGGAAAAGAUAUGGAGAAGGUUGAGCCCACUUUAGAAGUAUUCUAUGAGGAGAAGAAGCGGGUCAAGAACCCUUGGGUACCAGUUGGGGCGUUGUUGACUGCUGGCGUGCUCACGGCCGGCUUGAUCAGUUUCAGGCAAGGCAAUUCUCAGCUGGGGCAGAAGCUAAUGAGAGCUCGUGUGGUUGCCCAAGGUGGCACAGUGGCGCUUAUGGUUGGCUCCGCAUACUACUACGGGGAGAAUCCGUGGAAAAAAUAAAGUUAAACUAUUUAUGCCUUAUAUGUUAUCAUUUCCCUUCUUUCUUACAAUUACAUUUUGUUGCUUCAUGCAUGUUGAAGCAAAAUUAGGCAGUAGAACCAAUUAUAUGUCUCUGAUAAGUGAGUUUCAUAGCUUGCGCUAAAUAAAUAAACUCUAAUAUUGGAGGGUUACCAAAA